UAAACCGAGACAAUUAGAGACAAUGAAGUAUCACGGCAACAAAAUGUAGAUCUAUGAAGACAUCAACUCAAGAUAACCCAGUAUUCAAGUUUAACCUAAGCAAUUACCAUAUCAUAUUUCAUCACAAUGCACUUUUGCAAACAAUAAACAUUAAGGCUUACCUAGCUGAGGCAGCCCUCUGUUCAUGGAAAUCAAAGGUAUACACAUGUCCCGUUGGCGCCACAGCUCUUGCAAACGAUGUUGUUAAUGAGCCACUACCGGUCCCGGAUUCAGAUAAAAUUGUACAUGACAUGUUCCAAGUCCUUAUUUUCUUCCCCUCAUUCAGGCGGAAAACAUUCUUUAAAACAAUAAAAUUGUUUUGGGGAAAUUAACAGACAGAGAAGGAAAAGAUACGUUAGAAAAAAAAUAAGGGGAAAUCGGAGACACUGACUCGUGGUUAAUCGGAAAAUGAGGGAAAAUUAAUUUCAAAUUUGAAACCUUAAUUUCUUAGAAGAUCAAAUGAAACCUUGCAUCUUAAUGCAGAAGAACUGAAAUCAGCUUUGGCAUGGUCAGAAAGUGAGACCCCAAAGAAAGUACAAUCCGUGAAAGAUGGACCUGAUUUUCCCUGCAACAAAAAAAAAACCCACCAUUAAAAACAGAAAAAAGAAACCCAGAACCAUUUCAUCAGUAAAAAGCUAAAAAGAAAACCUCUUUUGGGUAGGGUGAAAUUAGCUGGAACCAAAGCAGCAGUCUGCAAAGCCAUUACCAACUUUGAAAUGGGUUAUUUAAGCUUCUAUAAAGGGAUCAACUGAAAUUUUUUCAAUAUUUCAGUAAGAGUACAAAAUUUUCGAAAUAAAGAACAUUUAGUGCUCCUGUUUGGCUUCCGGGAAAAUGCAGGAUGAACAGUAAUUAUAAAAAAAAAAACGGAUACUAAUGUCAAGUUUGAAACAAAUUUCUGUCGAUUUUCUUCGCUCAGAAACCAAACCCUUCCAUCAUUCCAUAGAAGACAGGAGGAAGACAGAAAAGAAAACAAGAGACAAAGAUAAGAAAAUUGGCUACUAAAUGGGGAAAGAAUAGGAAUUUGGAAAUACAACGGGCAAAUUUCUGAAUUUUUCAAUCCCCUAACGGGCCACGCUUUCACGGUAAAAUUUAAUUCCUUCAUUAACUAAUUCUUUAUUUAGGGGAGUAAAACAGAAAAGAAACGUAAAAAAAAAACGGAAACAAGAAAUCGUAAAUAGGAGAUAAUAAAGGGAAAAUAAUAAUCAAUAGAAAUAAUUUUUAUUUGUUCAUGUAUAUAUCAUGUUUGUAAAGAUAUUUUUUUUAGCCUUUUAUUCAAAUUUACAGUCUCAAUAUUAUUUAAAUUUUUUAUUUAAAAAAUGAAAAAAAAUUAUAUGUUAUAUCCCAAAGUAAAAGUUUUUCAAAGAAAACUAAUAAAUAAUAAAAAUUUCAAAUCAUUUUGAAUACAACCAUAACCUGUCAGUUUUCUACUAAGCCCAAAAGAUGAUAAUAAACUCUAAAUUGUGCUCCAGCUUAUCUACAAAAUGUGCAAUUUUUUUUUCAUUAAUAGACCAAUCUGCAUGAUUCCCUUACGAUCCCAUGUUGUUCUUGCCUGUUGUUGGAUAUGCAAAUAUUAUGCACAUUAAUUAAAAGGAAAAAGAAACCUAAUUGAACUUGAAGUAGUUGGGUUUUUGUUUUGCACUUAUUGCCUCACAGAAAAGUGUAUCUAGAUGCACCAGGCGUGCAUGUGUGAUCGAAUGUACUUUUCCUAAAGGCUCUAGGGUGCUUUUAUCAUUUGGCGCUAAGGUGCAAUUGCUAGGCAUACACCUUGACAUUGAAGGUUGCAAUGUCUUGGUUGAUGCUCAUUACUAUGUUCUAAAUUGUAUUGAAUUUUGAGUUGCCACUUAUGGAGAUAGUAUGGCCCAGAGCUUAAAAAAUAGUAAAGCCUAUGUUCAUUUAUUUCUGCAUGCUUGUUAUUAAGUUGAUCUUGCAUGGUUUUUUUAUUAUAGUACAAAAUGUUUAAUCACUGAAUGCAAUUUGGAUUGAAGUAGACUUGAAAGUUGUUAAUAGGAAGAUUGAUUAGCUUUUCUACUUGAGAAGAUUCCCCUUAGCUCAAUUGCUAGCUUUACGGGACUUUAAGUCUUUAAUAAUGAUAAAUUUAAAUUUAAAUAUGGAAAUUCUUGUUAGAAAAGGUUAAGAAAUUAACCACCCCCCUCUACACUGGGUUAAAUAGAAGAGAUUUUUGUAACUUUAGAAACUUACUAUUAUGAAAUUAGUUUUCAGUCCCGUCUCGCUGAAUGCAUGCUAUUAGAAUUUCUGCCUCCAAUUUUCUACGUUAAGUGGUAUUCUUCUUUUUCUGAUUGUAUUGCAUUCUUCUAUUUCUACCAGGUAGAUGAAAUGUUGAGACAUACAUCUGUGUCAUCAGUUGCACGCUUGUAAAGCUUUGUUUAUACUUUUCUGCUACAAUCUUCACCCUGGAAUUGUUUGUUUUGAAAUUUCUCAACUUUCCUAGACAUGUGAUUUGUCUUUAGUUCUCUUGGAAUAGUUUCAGUUCUGUCUGCAAAAUUCUAUGUUUUUAACACAUUCCUUCUUGAUUUUUAAAGGGAAUGUUCCUGGCUUUUAGUAGAUACUUUUGAAAUUGAUGGGUGGUAUAAGUGAUACCUGUAAUGAGUUUUUUUGGGUGCUUUCUCAGUGGUAUUUGUUGAUGUUUGCAGAUCAGAUUUCCCGUAUCUUUUGGUUAUUACAUUCAGACCUUCAUGAGGCUAGGGUUACAGCUGUUCUGGAAUAUUUGUCAUCUAUGGUGGCAAGUUUAGAACUAUCACAUCAACUUGCAAAUGGACAGAGAGGUCACUUGGAAAAUUUCUCUUUGAUCAAGCAUAACUCCAAGAAAGGAAAGUUUCAUGUUAGAUUUAAGAAGAGAAAUGGACGGUAUGGUAACUCUCUCUCCCUCUCUCUCUCUCUCUCUCUCCUGGUUAAGAUAGCAGCAGACUGACACGAUAGUUUUUAAACCUAUAUGUAGUCAGAGGAAGUUCACAUUGACAGUCAGCUAUCAACUUUACAUCUUUGCCAUCUGAAGGAGCAAUUAAUCAGGGUCUUGUGCCAAAGGUCAUAGCUUAAUAUCUCUGUCUCUCUCUCUCUGCCUUUUGCAGCUUAUUCUUUUUAUCUUGUAGUACACUAUUACCUGCAAGAAAUCUGUUCUUUGCUCAAAAAAUUAGUGUAUAUCGUAAAGAAAAAUUGAUGUGGAUUGGGGAAGAAAACAGCAGCAAUUAAAAGAACUAGGACUGAAGGAGCAGAUGGAUGCCCCUUCUUGUGCUGGCUGCAAAUCUUUGUCCUAGUGGCAUCGAAUGCACAUUAUUCCAGCCAAUCCAAUCUAUAUGCUACUAGAAUGUUUUGCCGACCAUGCACUAUUUUAAUUGUAUUAAAUAAUAAUUGUUUAUUUAAAUAGUUACAAAAAAUUCUGAUAUAAGUUGCUGAAUCCGAGUGAUUUUGAUAUUUUCUUUACUAGGUUUUUAAUUGAUUGGUAAUACAUAACCUCUGGACUAGCAGUGUCUAUAAUGGUAGUGGUGUACCUUGGAAUAUUAAAUAUUAUAAUUUUUUUAAAAUAUUAAUAACUAUUUAAACACUUAGUAUUAAUGUUUAUAAUAUAUAUUAAAAUUUUGAGUUAUUAUCAUUUAUGAAUCAGAUUUUUGAUUAAUUGAUAAUGCCUAUUCAUCAAUACACUUAAAUAUUAAAUAUUCUAACUUUUUUAAUUUAUUACAUAAAAUUUCCACAUAAUUGCUAGUGAAGCUUAAUGAACCUCUAAUUGGGAUGGAUCAAUAUUCCCGAGGAACUCAUCAUCCAAUCUCUUAUUACUGUUUCUGUACGUGGCUCUGUGCUCAUGUAGAGCACCUUUUAUUACAAAAAGAAAAAAAGAAAAAGGUACGCGGACAACCGCAGACCGUCCAUUCUUAUUACUAGAGAUUAUUUAUUAAAACUGAGCAACACCCAUCUCGGUUAGGAGAGACACCCAACAUCAAUAAUAAAGUCUUCUCCUCUCUUCUCUGACCUCCCCGCCAACAUCCCUCCCUUCCCCACCUUUCCUUUCUCUGCAAGUAACCAAGUAUCUUCUCAUUUUACCUUUUGAUUUCUUUGUAAAGGUAAGGCCAUCUCUAUCUGCUAGUAAUUUGCAUUGUGUGUUGACUGCCUUUAUUUUUCUUUUCAAAGUCUCUUUUACUGUUUUAAUCUCUUUUAUGGAAAAAUUUUAAGGACAUUGUUGGAUACUUCUUUUUAAUUUCCAUUUUCUCAUUCAUUUCUUAUGCUUGUUGCUAAACCGUUGUUCAAUUUACUUGGUUGGGUUACUAGUAUGAUGUUCUUAUAUAUACCCUAUGGUAAUUAUUUGUUUUGAACUGAACUUUGCAACUGUUGUUUUCUGACAGAUAGGUUUCCACAUGUCUUUGAUUCAAUUUCGUCUUACCAUGUCUUUCUCUACCAGCAGUAUGGCAGAUUUGCCCUCCUUUUCAACUGAAGAAUUUUAUUGGCUAGCAUCAUGCUUUUGGGGCAUCAUCACCUGCAAACUAGUAAGUAGUCCAAUAUGCUUUUGCUUUCAUCAACGACAUUUUUGGUGGAUUGGAAUUUUUUUCAGAUCUUUCAUCUUCGUAGAUUUCGGUCAAAUUCAAUGGCUUUUAUUAAUCUUCUUUUUCAUUUCCAUCUUUUAUAAAUUCAAUACACUCUAAUCUUGGCACUCGGUAAAACAUCCUCAGCCUUCUCUGGUUCGUGUUACAUAAAAUUUUUUUCUUAAUCUUGUUGAUAGAUUAGCUCCAUAGGCUCCUUUUUUUUUUCUGGGAAUGGUAAUAGUUAUGGUAGUAUAAAAUUGCUUUGAAUCAUAUUCGGGCAGUUUUUACCAUUUCUUUUUAUCCAGAAUUUAGGAAUAGGCUUUGAAAUUGGCAAUUAAGAAAAAGAGAAUGGCUGUGAAUAGCACCUUAAAACAGAGAGGAAGAAUAGGUUGGCUGAGAAAAAAAUGGUUUGGCACCAACAAUGAUGCAACUAAAUUGUGCUGACGCUCAUAAAAGACCUGCCUUCCAGAGAUUCUAACCUCAAAUGAAUCAUAAAAGGGUUUGGGAAACUUAGGAUAAGACAGCUCCACACUGACAACUAAAAGACCCUGGUAGUGGUUCCACUUUUGGACCUGUAUCUUUGAAUUUUGGGCCAAAGUUAUCGAUAUCUACAUUUGCCGUCCAUGCCCAAGUUGGAGUAGUUUAUUAGGUUUGUUCUAAGUUGCCAAAGUUUGUGGACUAUUUAGGGAAAUUAUCGAAACCGACUGAAAAUUAGAUUUAAACCACUUUAACUUUGGUUAAUCUAUUUAGGACUGCCUAGAACUGCUGUAUUAGAUUUGUCAUCAGUACGAUGGAAUUCACAUUUCACUUUUAGAAUACAGAAUGUACAUAGUUCUGAGAUAAUCAUUUCACAAUGACUUUUGCACUUUAAUUUUGACUUAGGCUCAUUUUUCUAUAGGGGCAUUUGAUUUCGAUUAAGUUCCAUUUGUUAUAAGAGAGGGCUUUAAGCUCAUUAUAUAGGAAUGCUGGUACAGCACUUUUCUCGGUUGUGUUCAUGCUUACCUUUCUCCUGCAUUGUGGGCUAAAUAUAUAGUGAGUGCUCUUGUAGGAUAAAGCAUUUCGCAUCUUUAUAUUUUGGGGCUCUUUGCUUAUUUAGAUUUGUCAUCAGUACGAUGGAAUUCACAUUUCACUUUUAUAAUACAGAAUGUACAUAGUUCUGAGAUAAUCAUUUCACAAUGACUUUUGCACUUUAAUUUUGACUUAGGCUCAUUUUUCUAUAGGGGCAUUUGAUUUCGAUUAAGUUCCAUUUGUUAUAAGAGAGGGCUUUAAGCUCAUUAUAUAGGAAUGCUGGUACAGCACUUUUCUCGGUUGUGUUCAUGCUUACCUUUCUCCUGCAUUGUGGGCUAAAUAUAUAGUGAGUGCUCUUGUAGGAUAAAGCAUUUCGCAUCUCUAUAUUUUGGGGCUCUUUGCUUCUUUAGCAAUUAAAAUCCAAUUUGCCUAAUCCCUGAUCUGAUUUUUAAACUGGAUUAUUUUUGAGGGUUCAGAAAACUUAAUUGAGUCAUUGCUUUUGCAUUUUAGCCUUGCAAGAACUUAAAUCUUAUCAUAAAUUGAAAGGUUCAUGUUGUCCUAAUUUUUGUGUGUACAUUUAUUCUGAUUAUAGCAGAACUUAAAUAUUAUCACAGUUAGUGACUUCUGUUUUUAAUGAUGCUUGAAGAUGAUUUUUUCUUGUGGUAUUCUGCUUUAUUUGCUUUCUUUUCAUUUUGCUCACACUGGAACAAUUGGUCUCUUUGUGGUCCUUGUUGUUGGAGGUUGAUUAUUUAUCUUAAUAUGAUCAAUUACAGACUUCUCUUUUCUAUGUGCCAUAGGUGGUAUGCUUGGUCAUUACUUUAGAGACCGUCAAAUGUGGACACUUCGGAGCCUAAUCUCAUUGAAGGGAAAGUUUUGAGUUUGCUAUCUGAUUUGCAAAGAGAAAAAAGUUGUUAAGCAAAUAUUUGUAUGCUUUGCUCCUCCGUUCAUUUUCUGAACUUUUUUUCAGCUUAAAAACAAUAACAGGAUAUUUAAAUUAAUUAUGUUAUUAUGCAUAGACAAUAUGCUGAUUAUUACCCAAUGAUAAACUUUUGCUUCUGCAAGCAUCAAGAAAGAGGGGAAUGUUGUUGUAUCUGGAGAUGGCACUAAUGAUGCUCCUAUUAUAUCUUUAAAACUCUAUUUAGCUACUCCUUUUUUUUUCUUUUCUUGUUUAUUGAUCUUACCAUAGAACUUCAGCUUAAUGAUGUGGAAUAAUUGCUUCUUUUUUCAACUUACUGUCCUAGUGGGAUAGUCUGAUAGGGUUUUGGGUGAGGAAUUCACGGAGUGGAUGCCAGCUGAUACUAGACUGGUUUUGGAUUCUUAGAUUUUGGGCAUUGAUUUAGUUAGUCAGAUGGGCCCAUUUAUUAUGAUUUCAUUCUCUUGCUUUGGGAUUUAUUCAGCUUUAUGUACAUACUGUUUAUUUAAUUAUUUUAAUAUCCAGUCCGAUAUUUAAAAAAACAGAUAAAAUUCAAACCGUUUUCAAAAUAAAUAAUAUAAAAACUCUUUGUUCAUGCAUAUCUCUCACGGUUCUCCCUUUAUUCUCUCCUCUUUUCCUCUUUUUUUUCUACUAUUUUUCUUCUUUCUCUUGUUUUAUUCUCUCUUCCUCAUUUAUUGUCCUUUCUAACAAACCGCCCCUGCCCCUGCCCCUGCCCACAUACCUUCUAGCGUCUUACGUACGAUUAAAGGCCAGCUUCCUUCCCAUCAUUCAAGAUUUAAAUCCUCAAUUAUCUAUCCAAUCCAUUGCUCCCCAUUUCUUCGGCGGUUCUCUCUCGCUCUCGAUCACUUUUCAACGUUUUCCUGUCAUUCUUUUUUAGCUUUGGGUAUCCACGGGCCAAAAAAAAAACACCUAGAAGGAGAGAGUUUUCGUGAGAGAGAAACCCUAAGUUUUCUCUGGCGUUUCUGGUUUUUGUGAUUUUUGAAAUUCGCUGCUUCAACGGAGACUCAUUUCAGGUAUCAAUCUCUUUUUUAGUUUCAGCUCCAUGCUUUUUCACUUGUAUUUCAGUGGGUUUUUUCUUAUGGUUUUUGGUUUUCAGCUUUAGAAAUCACUGUUUCAUUCCGUCUUUCAAAUCUACAGAUGUCGGUCUUGCUCUUCAUUUUUGUUUGUUUAUCGUCUAGUAUACGUUGUUCUUUAUUUCUGGAUUGUUUGUUUCCCUCUGUUUAAUAUUAUAGCUUUUGUGUUAUUUUCUAUUUCUUCUAAGUCUUUGUUAGCAGAAUACUAAUUGCCUAAACAAAAAGCAUCCGUACGUAAAUUGUUUACUGCAUCUGGGUUGGCUUGAUUUUAGUUCUAGGAAUCCGGUGGGAGUUGUGACGCAUGUAGAGUUUAUUUGGUAGUUUUUCUGGAUGGUAAUAACAUGUCUUUUUAAUUUGUUGUGAGUUGUGACAUUCUGUUUCUUGGUUUUCUCAAAAAGUCUGUACUUUAGUUUAAAAAUGUAAUAAUAAUAAUCUAAUUGGGAUGCUUGUUGAUAUUGAUAAGAAUUGGAGAUUUUAACCCUCAACAUUUACACACUAUGACAACAUUGAAAAAAGAAAAUCAAUAUGUGAACUGAUUGUCUGGGUUUGUUCUUUUCCUUUGAUUAACAUAGCCUUGGGAGUUCAAAUUAGUCUAUAAGAUGCACUAAUAUUUGGACUACCAGUUUCUAUAAUUUAAUGGUAUGUGGCUUGCAAAAUAUGUUCAAUGCUGCUUUACAAUUUGCUACACUUUGAUCAUAAUGACUUUCUUUUCCUUCAACUUUGCCUGUAACAUGCUUGGUAAUGUUUGUUGUUGGUUAACUUGAAACAUAUUUCUUAUUGUGUUUUCCUAAUCAUUCUCUUUUACGGUUCUCUAUUGGUUAUUUUCUAUCAGACUUGGCAAUGGUGUUUUGGCAUUUCCCAGCUUUAGGAGGUCUGGAGUAUGUAAGUAGAGAAUCAUGCCUGAUGUUAUUUAUAUUACUGCUCUGAAUUGGUCCCAGUUCCCGGAAGCAAUUUGAUUUAAAGCAUCAGCUUAACCAAUAAUUGUGUUUCUUCAAAUAAGCUUUUGGUAUUUUCCUGCUCUCUUCUUGAAAUAUUGGAUCAACUGACAUGUUCGUUUUGAAAUUGGAUGCUUAGGAUUUGUUUGGCCUAGAUCUUUUAUAAAAAACUGUUGUUCAAGUAGAUCUCUUCUAGUGCUGUAAAAGAUAAAAUACUUAACGUAAACUAUAUAAUAAUAUACAUUUUUCUAAUAAAUUAAAAAAACCUGAACUUUAUUAAACUGAGGGUUUUGUUGAUACAAUAUAAGAAUGUGGCAAGAAGGUUGGAGGCAGUUCACUCGAUGGGCCGAGAUUUGUACCUGGUAGUAGAUAGAUUGGUCCCCUCUUUUUAUUAGGUUUGAGGGGAGUAUUUAAGGGGAACACUUAUAAGCCAUGUGUCCUUGUUUUAUUGGUGGGCUUGUUAUUCAAAGUGUGUGCCAUAUUAGGGCGGCUAUGUGAUUUGAUGUAACGAGGAUAAAGAGUAGUGUCAACAGAGUGGUUUAGCUUGGCGUGACGUGGCCUUGGGCAGAGGGUGGUGAUUAGUGGGGUUAUUCUGUUUGGUGGGGUUGUCCCAAUUGAUGAGGUCUGGUGAAGGUAUGUUAAGUGAGGAUCUGUCCCUCAGUUGAAGGGAAGGUUAUAAAGUAACCUUACCUGAGACAAAAAGUAUUAGUGAAGUCUCUAUGUUCCGGGCAAGUUCUGUCUAGAAAAUUUUCUGCCUACUUUGUUUCAUAAAAUUGGAGGAAAUUUUUGCGAAGUUUGUGAUUUGAUUGUUCUUGUGAAAUUCACACAAGGCCUUGAAGGCAAGGUGUAAACAUUCAAAUUAUGAAUGCAUGAAGCCUUGGAGGCAAAGUAUAAAUGUGCUAGGUGUUCUUAGAAACGCUCUUUACCUAAAAAGGUUAAAUGUGCCUGAAGAGGCUUUGUUUUUGAAAAGUUUAGUUGUUUGAGAAGUUGAAGUAUGCAUUGAAGGCUGUGUCUAAGAAGACAAAGUAUGCCUUGGAAGGCUAAAUGUCUUGGAAGACAAAGCAUGCCUUGAAGGCUAAGUAUUUGAGAAGACGAAGUUUGCCUUAAAGGCUAAGUGCCAAAGAAAAUGAAGUAUGCCUUGAAGGCUGUGUUUAAGAAUAGAAAGUAUGUCUCGUAGGUUAAGCGUUUGAGAAGUAGAAGUAUGCAUUGAAAGCUAAGUUCCUUGAAAUAUGUGCUUGAACAUUGCACAAUAUUUUUCCCUGAAAAACUUGUAAUUACUUGUAUAAUUGUACCUUCAUUGAGGUAUGCCUGAAAAGGUUGAAAGGUACUCGCCAAUGGAGUAUGCUCAUGAUAUUUAUCCCUUCAAAGCUUGAGGAAUGUCAGUAAUUAUUUAUAAUAUGCAUAAGUUAUACAGUGCUUAUCCUUUAGCUAGGUAUGCAUGGAAGUGAGCUUGGCAUAUGUGGCGAGUACCUUUCAACCUAACUGUGCGGUUUGUGAUUUAUAUUUAUAUGAAAUAAUCACAAAUAUAUAUUUAUCACUGCCCUGGUUCAGACCUAACUGUGCUUACACAAAUUUAUAUUAAAUAUAAUUUUUAUAUAAAUUUUUCACCCAAUGCAAAAAGGCAAGAAACUAGGGUUAGUGAUUAUAUUUAUAGAUGAAUGAUGAAAUAAAGAAGAACCGAUUGUUUGUUUUGAGUUCUCACUUAACCCUUUGCCUCUAGCAUCUUCCCUCAUGGCUUCGGAGAAAGAAGCUGCCCUUGCUGCUGCUCCCUCUGAUUCUCCUACCAUGUCAGCCCAGCCCUAUAUUUCUCCUUCUCCUUUAUGCAUCAAUUUCUUCUUUUAGAAAAAAAAGAAUUCUUUUCUUUUUAGAAUAAUUCUCGACAGUAAAUGUUCCUUCCCUUUUCACUUCGAUGUGAAUUAGCAGAUCAUUCCUUCUCAUUUACUUUUUUUUUUUUUCAGAUUUGACAAAAUCAUCAACAAGGAAAUACCAGCUACCGUGGUGUAUGAAGAUGAUAAGGUUCUGAUCUUUUUUCUUUUUCUUUUUACUUCUGAUUUUAAAUUCUGCGGAUUCAGUCACUGCUUAUUUGUACGCUGGAAAGAUAUUUUAGAAAUCAGGCCUUUUUUUUUCCUUCUUGAACUAUGGCUUGAUUCUUGCAACAGGUGAUGCUCAUUAUAUAUAUAUUUAUUUGUUUCUUAAAACAAAUUUCCCUCGACCAAAUUCUGGUCUCGACCUGGAACUUGGUCUGGCUUUUAACAAUUAGAAAGGCACUACUUUUGACCUUUUCAAUUUUUAUCUUAAAAUGGAUAGAAAUGCAAACACCCCCUGCCCUUAUAAGUUGGGGAAGAUACGUCGUCCUUGUGCAUUUUGACAAGUAGCCCGUUAUUGGCCUAAAGUAAUGCAUCGAGACUUGUGGGGUAACACAUUCUAAGUUAGAAUGAGAGAGUAGAGGUUCAUUUGUUUGUCUUAAGAGCUGUCUAUAUAAAGGGCUGUGUUUUUUAUUUUUGUUUAAUUUAUUUUCACUAGUGGUCUUGCUAAGGGUAAUAGAUGAGAAUUUGUUGGAAUUUUGAGGGAUGCUUAUUGUAUUUAAGAGGAUGGAUUCUAAGGAAUGAACGUGGAAGUGGCCUUAUGCCUUGAAAUUAUUAGGUUCAUUAAUUGGAUCAGUCAGCUGGUCAAAUGUUUUCAGGGAAAUGAGAUAGCAGAUGUAUUAGGUAAGGUUGGCAUUUGAAGGGAAGUAUUUUCAUGGCCUGAGGGUGAUAUUUGUUCUUUUUUUAUUGAGUUCUCUGUGCGAUUAUUGGUAUUUCCAUGUCCUGGUGCUGUCUGUUCUUACUUGGUGUUUGAGUUUUGGUUGACUUGUGCUACUGAUGUUUUAAUUCUACAUAUUGGUUCUGAAAUGUCUUUGUCCUUUGUUUGCUUUUGUGAGUGUUGUCAGUUAUUAGUGAAAGUUGUCUUAACAAAAGAGUUUUUCAUGUUCAAGUAAGAGUUAGAAAGAAUGCAAUUGGCUUCAUAAUUGUUAAUGGAAAGAGUUUAUCACUUCCAAGAGAAGUUAAGUGGACCACGUUUAAAAUUUUAGAUAAUUUUGAUGAUGAAAACUGGUGAAGGCUACUCAUUGAUGGAUUAGAGUUUAAGUAGCUUUCAGGAAUGCUAGCUGAAACUUUGGAAGAUCCAUUCCAAAUCGAACAAAUGAAAAUGUUGUUAGCAUUAGCAAAAUCAGGAAUAUGUCCGCAACUAAAAUUAGAGACCUAAUGUACAAAGCUUGAUUAGGUGAGCUGAAUCAAGUAGAGGUAUUGUAUGUAACAAAGCUCGAUUAGGUUGUUUGAAUCAGGUAAAGAUAUUGUAUGUAACUGUAUUGAAGCUGUCGAGGGUGUGUGGAUUAGCAGCUAGGGGAUUGUUUGGUAUGAUGUUUUGAAGUUGAUGUAUGUGAUGUUUGCUGUUUAUUGUUGCCUUAAUGAAAAAUCCUUAUUAUUUUAUUUCUUUCGUAACAGAGAAAUAUCGGUACUCACUGUUGCAGUGAAGAAAAUUUUAAUUAGCUUUGAAUUUUGCUUCCAUUGGCCGAAAGCUUUAAAGCUAUAACUUCUGGUAAAGAUUUUACAAUAAGCCUUUUUUUUUUAUUAGCCAAACACUUUGUCCAUUUCUAAUACCGACCAACCUUCUCAAUUUGUCUCUCCUUUCUCAAACGUGUUAUGCAUCUUCUCUUCUGUAAUGUGAUACAUUUCUGCUCUUUACAACGACCCUUUUCCUGCUUCAUUUCAUCUUUCUGACACAUGCACUUAGCACCUUUUUGGUAUCUUCAUUUUUCUUUUUUCCUCCCUUUUUUAGUGAAGAGAUAAAUGACUUUCUAGUAAAAGAUAUUUUAUUGGUAACAAACGAAAUAUGGCCUUAAUUGUUCUUUUCUUCAAAUGUUAUUAUUAAUGAUAAAUGAUGGUAUGAAUUAUUUUAGCAUCUUAGUAUUCAAUGUAUACAUAUUUUGGUCUCUGCACAGUAUUUCUUUGAUUAUUUUUAGAUGAAAUUUGGAGAUGCUAGAACAUAACUUAAGCUCUUCGGUAUAUUUUACAAAUAUUUUUAUAGAAUUGUGAUUAAUUCCAUAUGGACCUGGAUGAGAAGGUCAUCAACAGUUUGUUAUCAUACUAAGGCUUAGCUGCUCUUUGCUUUAGUCCCGUUUCACUGUUGCAGUGAGAUUGAAUUUCUUUUUCAUUGCACUAGACUGGUGAACCAAGCAGCAGACUAGUGAGGUUGAGUACCCCAACUGUACUUACACUGGUGAAAAAAGCUCAUCCAAGGGCAGUCUUAGUUUGGAUGAGCGGUGUGUUUAGCUCCGGUGAGAUUAAAAACAGCGGUGGCGGUAAGAUUAAUUACUGUAAUGGUAAGAUUAGAAACAAUGGUGGAGUGUGUUUGGAUUCAAACGCAGCUGUAGCGGUGAGGUAAGAAUAAAAAAUGACUAUUAAAGACAUCAUAUUAGAAUUGAUAUAUAAUAGAAGUUUUUUAAAUUAUUUUACUUUUAUAAAAUUAUUAAAAUAUGUGAGUUUAUAAAUUUAUUUAAUAAAAUAUUAAAAUCUAUUCAUUUAUGUGUAAUUUUUAUCAAUUAUAUUUCUACUUAUUUUUCAUAUAUUUAUUAAACUAUAUAAAAUUAAAUAUUAUUAAAAUAAAAAGUAUUAAAUAAAUAUAAUGAUUUAUUUAAAAUAGAAAUUAUCUAAAUUAUUUUAAAUUUUAUUUUAAGAUCUUAAAUAAAAACUAAUAAAUGAUAAAUAAAACUAUAAUGUUUAAAAUAAAAUGAAGACAUUAAAAGACAACAAUUGACGGAAGGCUAAAAUAGGAAGUAAAGUCCAGUGAGAUUUAACUGGAACUUUUUUCACCGGUGAAUAUUUUUUAUUUCACUGAUGGUCCCAUAAGUUUACUGUACUGAAGUUUGUCAUCCAAAUAGAGAGCACCAGUGCGAUUGCACCAAAAAGGUGAUUAAACGCACUACUUAAUUUGGAACUAUCAAGUGAAUCUUAUCUUCUUUCAGUUUGUUAUAAUAAAUACAUGACGCCUUAAACAUGAUUAUGACAUAGAAAACAAAUGAACAAGCCUUGGAUACACAAUCUGCAAAUUCAAACACUAAAUUAUUUCAUCGGACAUUUUUGAGCCUUACGUUUGUUUCAUUACACACCUUACAAGUUUUUUAGUGAUUGCAAUAAGUUGAUGGAUUGAAAUAACUUGGUGAUGAGCUUUUUAAUUCUAGACUCGGUGACAUACUUUCUAUUCAUUGGGAAGGUCAUCUAUUUUGACACAACCGAGGGGUAUAUGCAAUUCAACUCUAAAGACAAUUUCUGCCAACAAGGAUGAAUAAUGGAUAUUGCUUUAAGCUUUUAUUAGGGUUUUUCAUUGUACGGAUAUAUUUAGAAGCUCAAUUUAUCUCAUGGAUUUAUGGCCUAUUCCUAUCAAUACUUGCAUAUCAUUUUUGUUACUUAAAUUUUUAUUCACAUUUUGGUACUUAAUUAUCAAUUUUGGUAUCUAACCACUAACUUCUGUCGUUUCCAAUAAAGAAUGAAACCGUGAUUCUCUAAAGGUGAAACCAAAAACCAUGACAAAAACACAUUGAAAUCUAAAGGUGAAACUAAAAACCAUAACAAAAACACACUAAAAAUAGAAGUAAAAAGAAGCAUACUACUUAAACUAAAAACUGAGAUGAAAAGGCAAAGACAAAGGAUUUACAAAGCAGAAAAAAAAAUCAUAAAAAUACCUACUGACAUACAAGUAAAAAAGCAUCAACCAAUAAGCAAAUUAAAAUUAUGUUAAUCUAAGGAUUACGACUAGAACCCAUUCGUUUAAAAUAUUAUAAUUCAGUUUCUCUUCAUAUAAGAUUAGGUAACACAGAUUAAUGUAAUUCUAAUAUCAGAAUAUUUUCACUACAUGGAUAUAUCCAUAAUCACACAAAACUUCCUAUUCAGCUGAUGUACAGAGAUACCAUAGUCUAUCUAAAACUUCCAAUUAAAAUCCAUUUGCAAAUCAUAACCAGCAGAACUCAAACAAUCCCAACUAUUUUAAAGAAAAUAUACCCAAUACUUACGGACUAAUGCAAGCACCUAGUAGUAUCAAAAAGAAAACAUAUAUGCAUACACGAAUCAUGACAAUCUCCACCGUAAAUGAUCAUGAAGCCUAAAUCGACAAAACCUUUGCAAUUAGCAAACAAUAUCAACAAGCAUCCCAAUUAGAUUAUUAUUAUUUUGUUGAUAUUAGGUUAAACUUGAAUACUGGGUUAUCUUGAGUUGAUGUCUUCAUAGAUCUACAUUUUGUUGCCGUGAUAUGAAUGGCCGACGUCGUCAAAAGAGAAACCUUCGUUUUCUACAUAAUUAACAAUACCAAAGCAAAAGAUAAAGUAAUCUGGAUUUUUAGAAAAAUAAACCAGUAAAACGAUUCAAAUAUAAAACUUUGCAAGAAAACUCUCAUUGUAAGAUCAAAAAAGGCAAAUAUACUGCUUUCUUCGUAAGAAAGAAAACAACACAUAGUUAAUAUCUUCUAAUGCAACAUAAUAACCACUCGUAACCACUUUGUAAUAUAAAACAACCUUUUCAGUUAAAUUGCAUCCCUAAUUCCAGCCAUGCCAUGCAUUUAGAUAUUACCUAAAUAUUUCAAUCAAAAUCCAUUUCCAAAUCAUAUAAGCACCAGCACACAAACAAUUCCAACUAAGUUCAUCGAUGAGCUCCACUCAACUAUUUCAAAGAAAAUCUACCCCGAUCCUUACUGAUGAGUGCAACCACCUAGCACUGUGAAAAGAAAACUAAAUAUGCAUUGAUCCAUUGACGGACUACUAUGCACCACCUUAGCACCAAAUAAAUUGGGAGACUUUUCACUCCAAAUAUGACCAUGUUCUUCUAGUUAUAAUUGAUGUUAAUUGAUCCCAAAGUCUCUUACUUUCGAUUCUAUUAGAAAACACACAACAAUGCCAUACAAACAGCAUUUUUCCUUGAAAAAGGAAAUCAAACAGCACUUGUACAAGGAAAGUGGCCUUAAAUAUUUAUUGACCGUAGAUUAAAUGAAAACAACCAAGUGUUCAAGAAAUUGGAAACAGCUAUUCCCUGACCUUAAAUUUAUAUAAACUUUAGAUUAAAGAAUAUCAACCUCAUUUAACACUCAAGAUUAAACUUAAAUUUAUAUAAACUGUAGAUUAAAGAUCCUCUUGUCUGCUUACAAAAACGCUCUUAAACUUAGUUGAGCAAUUACUUUCCAUAACUCAAAGUCAGAACAACAAUACAACACCUUGCAAUACCCAUUUUCCCUCAGUUUUAUGAGCAAGCAAACAAGAAAGAAUGAGAAACACAAUGUUACAAGUUCAAAACCACAAUAAUUCAGUAAAUCAUGAUAAGAGACAACAUGCACUACUCACAACUGAACAUGACAUCGAGAAACAGUGAAAAAUAAAUAAUUGUCAGAAGAUAAACGCGAAUACUAUCAGCUUCUGAAGAAAUCAAAUAGAUGAAAACCUGUAAAAUGAGAAUAAAAAUGGAUAAAGAACUAAUCAUUCCAAGAAAAUCAAAAUAGAUGCCAAAUGAAAUCUUCAGCUUUUGAAUAAAUCAAAAUAGAUGAAAACCAGUUGAAAAAUGAGGGUAAUGAACGACUGCCUGCAACUAAAUUCAAAAAUCCUACGAUGGACUGUUGAUCUGUCCAAUCAACUAUCAACAUUAUGAAGGAGACCCUUAAUUUAAAUUGCAUAAAACAGAUGAAGAUAGGUACAAAAGAUGAUCAUGCUUUCAUUAGUUUUUAAGGAGAAUUACUAUACAACCUUAGAAAAUAGAAACCCAAUUAUCUGCUGCCUUCAAAAUGUAGGGAGAGACUAAUAACAAAGAAAACCAGUAGAAAGUUACAACUACAAACUUAAAUACUAAAUAUUCGAGAUCCAUUGUGCCAAUUCGAUAUUAAAAAUAAUUGAAACUUUGAAAUUAUAAAUGAUCGAAGCAUACCAGAUCACUACACAAAUACAAUAAAUAUCUAAUAUUCCAGUUAGCAUUGCAAGCAAGAAGACAACAAAUAUUAUAAAAACAUAAAUGAAAGCAUCAAGUUGUUCAAUAUCAAAAUUUAAGAAGCACUAUCAAAACACUAAAUACAUUACAUACAAAAACAAAACUUUCGGGGGUAGAAUUCAACAAAUCCACUUAAAAAUCACUAUCCAGAACCCUAAUUAUAUCUUAAAAAAACAAAGUAGAAUUCGUCAAAUCUACUUCAAUAACUCGAAACUAAAUGCAGACUUUACCUUUAGCCGGCUGCGCUGAAUAAAACCCUAGGGGAAAAGGAAAAAAAUUGUAAAAGCAAAAAGCAUAAGAAGAAUAAAAGGAGUGGGUUUGGUUUUAUGAGCCACUUGCAUGCCGAAAAUGCUACUGAGUUAUAGUUGAGUAGUAACGGGUUUGCUCGACCUUGAAAAAAAAAAAAAAAGGAAUACAAUUUUAAUUUUGCUCUUACUUGAAAGAGAUUGAUGGGUGGACCGAUGGUGACUACCUGACUGGUGAACGAUGAUGGUGGACCGGUGGUGACUGCCUGACCCGUGAACAACAACGGGGGUGGCCAUAGGGUAUUGGAGUGGAGAAGGCAAAGUUAUUUUGUUAGGGUUAGAGAUUUAGAAAUUAGCUGUUAGAAAUUGGGGGCAGUGACUUGAGGAGGAAAAGAAAACUAAGGGUAGGUAAUUAGGCAUUUGAUUCGGUGCCGGGCACGACCCAUAAAUUUUUUAUGAUAUUUAUCGAAUUAUAGAAAAUUGAAACUUGCUUUAAAUUUUUAAAUAAAAUUUUAUAUUAUUUAAAAAAAAUUCAAUAUUCCCCUCCAAAGUGUUUGGUUGAUUAAUAAUAUAUGUUUUGAUUCGUACGUUUUACUAUUUACAAAAUAAAUAAAUUUAAAUAAUUAAAAAAAGCAUUCAAACGAUAAAAGAAAUUUAGUUUCUAUGGUUUUAUCAUUGAAGGUUUGUUGAAAAAUAUAUUAACGUUAUAUUUAGUAUUUAAAUUUUAUCAAAUCUUUUUUUCUAUGAUUUUAAAUUUAAAUUUUUGAUAUUUUUAUUGCGAUGUUAUAUUUAAAUUUAACAAAAGAAUGAGCCGGAAAAAAAGUCCCCAAAACAAAGAACAAUCUUUACAAUUUUAUUGCAAUGGCAUAAAGAUAUGUCAAAGACAAUUUAACAGCACUUGUAUAAGGUAAUAAUUAUCAAACGAUUGGUCAAAGACAAUUUUUUAAUUCUGUAAGGUAACCCAAAACAAAAAAAAAUCAAAAGGAAAAAAACAAUUAUUCAGAACCAGAAGGCAUUGAGAAAUCAAAUAAGACAAUAAAUGAAGAAGAAAUUGGUUAUGACAUCAUUAGAGAAUAUAUCCAAUGCAUCUUUUUGUCAGUCUCAUAAAAACCAUCAACCAAUAAGCAAAUCAAAAUUAUGUUAAUCUAAGUGUUGCGACUAGAACCUAUUCACUUAAAAGAUUACAACUCAAUUUCCCUUAAUGUAAGGCUAGGUAACACAGAUGAAUAUAAUUCUAUCUUCAACCAAAAUUGGAGUAUUUUCGCCACAUCAAUAUAUCCAUAAUCACACAAAACUUCCCAUUCAGCUGAUAUACAGAGAUACCAUACGUCUAUCUAAAACUUCCUAUCAAAAUCCAUUUGCAAAUCAUAACCAACAGAACUCAAACAAUCCCAACUAUUUUAAAGAAAAUAUACCCAAUCCUUACUAAUGAAUGCAAGCACCUAGCAGUAUGAAAAAAAAACAUAUAUGCAGACACGAAUCUUGACAAUCUCCACCAUAUAUGAUCAUGAAACCCAAAUCGAAAAAAACCUUUGCAAUUAGCAAAUCGGUUGAAAUUCUCCAAUUCUUCAAUAACUAUCAAUAUUGACAAGCAUCCCAAUUAGAUUAUUAUUAUUUUUUAAAACUAAAGUACAGAUUUUUUGAGAAAACUAAGAAACAGAAUGUCCCAGUCUGGAAUCCUAUAUGCCGGUUUUGAUCAUUUAGUAGGUACUUCGCAUUUCUAUAAAGAAUGGAAAACUAUUGAAAUAAUUAUAAAUGCAUUAUUUAAAUUUGUGCAAAAAAAUUAAUUAAAAUAUUUCUAAAAAUAUUCUUAUAAAUAUUAAAUUGGAUCCGACCUGGUUUAUCAUUUAAUAUAAAGGAGUUAAUAUAAAGAACGUUUUGGUGAUUGUAAACUUUAUUGAAAAAACAAUAAUUAAAUCCUAAUAAUAUUUGUUCAUGUAUCUGUCUUUUUUUUUAAACACCUACUUUUUUUUUUAAUUUAGGUCACCUAUUUAGAAAAUCCUAAUAAUAACCGACUGAUAUAGCAUAAAACAACCACAAAGUAACUCACAGACCACAUCAAUAAAUUUCAAACACAUAGCAAAAACAAAAAAAAGCACAAGUAAAAAAGCAUAAAUCUUAAAUUAAAACAGAGAAAGACGAAGACAAUGUUGAAGCAAAGAUUCAUACCUGAAAUCAGUCUCCGAUGAAGCAGGGGUUACAAAAAUCGCAACAAAGAAACGGCAGAUAAAUAAACCCACUGAAAUAUAAGUAAAAAAAACAUUGAUCUGAAACCAAAAUAGAAAUGAUAAGGCAAAGACAGACAAAGACAAAGUUCAAGAUUCAUACCUCAAAAUCAGUAUCCGAUGAAGCAGGGGAUUUCAAAAACCACAAAAAACAGAGUGUAGCGCAUGUGUGUGUUUUGGCCUUUGGUUACCCAAAGCUAAAAAAAUGAGAGGAAAAAAAUUCAAAAUAGACCGAGAGAGAGAAUGGGUAAAGAAAUGGGUAAAGAAAUGGGAGGAGAUUUGGAUUGAAGAGAUAUAUUUGAGGAUUUGUUAUGAAAGCAGAAGAAAUGAGGAAGAAAAAGAGCACAAAACAGGGAGACCGAGAGAGAGAGAGAGAGAAACGGCUAAUAAAUGGGUUUAUUAACUGCUGUAAGUGUGGGAUGAGGUUUCAAUCUGGGUUUUUAUUUUAUGUUUAGGUUUCAAUUUCGAUUUUAGAUUGUAUUAUUGAUUGAAUAAUUGUUGCGAAACUAUGACUCAUCACUUCAAUUUUUUUUACUUUUUUUUUUGGCUUACAUUAUCUUCGUCACUUAGAAUUUUUAUAUAUAUUACUACGUUACUAGAUUCUAUGCAUUUAUCCGUUCCAUAUAAAUAAUUAAUACAUUCAUAUAUCUUAAUUAAACAAUUAGGAAUUUUUAAAAUUCAUCCAUUUUAGUCAAUUUGAUGGAAUACAAAAUUUAAUUACAACACAUUAUUCAUUAGGCUCAUAUCAUAGCAUAGCUUAAAUUCAACACUAGACUAGCAGUUAUAACUAUAAAAUGUAAACAUUUGAUUCGACAAUAAAAAUACAAUGCAGUAGAAUACAAAUUGAAAUAUUAGCCACACCAAAAAGAAAAAAAGAAAAGGCAAAGGCAAGGCUCCUUCCCUAUAUAUGGAUGGCUAUAUCGUGGUAUAAUUAGAGAAAUAGAUAAUUAAUCUAUGCAAAGUUUCUGGAUAAAACUUUUUUACGAAUAAAUAACAAGGUCUCUUCAUUGAAUUCUACAAGCAUAGCUCACUUAUCCCUCUCCUCUGCACCAACAAACAACACCCCUAUUUGUUCCUUCUUUCUUCCAAACAAACAUGCAUAAAAUCUCAAAUUCAAAACAAAAAACGGUAGGAAUCUUUUUUUUACCUUUGGACCACUUGUAAAAUGUAUGCUCUCCUCAAUGAACUGCAUAGUUAGUCAAACAUCAGUUUCGAAGUUUAUACCAGUAAACUCAAAUUUGAGAAUGUAUGUAUAAGUGGACGUACCGUAAAGUUCUUGAGGAACUCAAAUGUUAUAUAUUGGGCCCUAAAUGCUCUGGGAUGUCACUUCCUUUUUGACCAAUCUACAUAUGUUACUAACCUAUUUGCGACUUCGCUAGGAUCAAUCAUUUGUUGUAUAUAAAAAUAAUUGGUUUUAUGACAUCACUUUUAUAUAUAGUAAGUAUUGAUGCCACCAAAAGAAAGAAGUUUGAUGUAACAACAUUAAAAAAAGGUUGGCAAAUAAUGCUCGUCAGAAUAGCAACUGCGUCCAUCCAUAUGUGGCUGACACAACAACAUGAGAUUUUUGUUAACGAAGUGACACCCAUCAUAUCAAGUAGAAUUUAUUUAUGGUUUAAAUAAAAAAUGGAAAGUAUUGCGAGUUUAAUAAUAGAAACUGAUAGGCAAGCGACAUUCUAAGGUUAUACACUUGCAUCAUUAUAGCAACAAAGUAGCUCUGCUCAACAAUUACCUUGCAAUAAUUCUUGAAUUUCCUGUAAUAUAGGUUGUCCGCCAUAACUAUUAUGGCAUACUGACCCUUCAUGCUAAACCACUGAAAUAAAAUAUGAAUCAAGACCAACUAAACAUAUGAGAAACAUCAUUGUCACGUUUUAUUUUUUUAGCAAAAAAACUAUUACAAAAGGUCCACGAAAAUAUAUUUAGGCAAAACCUUACAAUCUCUUACCAGAAAACAUUGUUAAAACUAAACACUUACAACUAUUUAUUUACUCAGCAUGAUAAGCUAUGAUGGCAGUUAAACAUAAUAAUUUUUAAAAGACAAGAGAAUACACUUUAGAACUACACAAAUCCAUGAAAAGACAUCCACCAUAGUCAGUUGUCAUAUUCUACUUACAAAAUACAUGCCAUAAAAUCAUAGAAAUUAAGACGUGAUCAUUUUAUUUAUGCACAAUGCAAACCUUACCCUAACAAGUAAUGUGCACAAUUAUCUAUGGCUUGGACUAUAAAUUUUACCGAGAGAAAAGUAGAGUAAUACAUGAUGGCAUCCUCAAUGAAAUGCUAACUAUCAGGAAUAUAGGAUCCAUUAUACGAUGCUUUUUAUUCUUAUAUGUUAUAUAAGGAAGGCCCCAUAAGGAAUUCAGACCUCGAUGCCGACACAGUAAAAAGUCAACCUUGAAGUUAGCUACAAUUUCAGUGAUUACGCAAAGAAGCACAACCUCUAGUUUAACUAACCUUAAAAUCAGAAGAAUUUAUAAUAUAAAUUUUUUAACUAGGAAUCCGAAUUUCCUUGUCAAUAAUGCUUAUAUUGGUUCCUUCAGCUGUCUCUUCAUUAGAAAUGCUAGUAACAACUGAGGAAGAUGUUCGUACUGGUGAACAGAUGACAUCAAAUGGCUGCCUGUGAUAUACUCCAAAAGUGCAAGUGUCCCCUAGCUUUUCAUAUUCCUCGUCAGGAGUCGGUAGUUUCUCUUUCACCCAUGGUUGUAGAUCUUCAUCAGCUUCCACAGCAUAUGUAAACCGCAUGCCCCUCAAAGACUCCUUCCCAGCAAUGCUCAUAUCUGCACAUUCAGCAGCAAUUACCAUGGUGAGGCCUGUAGCAAUUGAGGUUGCCUUGCUAGUAGGGGGAUCAAUGGAAACUAGUGACUCUACAUUACCUACGCCAAGAUUGGAUGACUCCCCUGGUUUUCUUCGCCCAUAUUCUUCAAUGUGUUCAGAUUGUUUAUGACAAGCCUCAUGAAUAAUGCUCUGCAAAUUAUCUGCUGAAACAAUAACCACUUCAUUUCGAAAUGUUUCUGGAACAGUUUCACAUGUAUCACUGACUUGGUCAUAUUCAUCCAAGUGAUCACAAUCAUCUUUGUAUUCAAACUCUCCUGGUUAAGUAUAGCAGGGGAGCUCAUCCAUUGUGCAAACUUUAACUUUCAUCUGCUCUGGCAAGCUUGGGCAACUAGCAGAAUGAGUUGUGUAUUUGGUUGAGAAGUAGUUUACGGUGAUGUUCAAGCUGAUCAAACAACAAUAUAACACAUUGGUUAACCAACUAUUGACCUAAACAAAACAGGAUUUAUGAGGGAUAAAAGUAUAUACCUCUACCAGACAGGGAGGGUGAGCAUCGUAUAUGCAAGUUUGAUCUUAUUGGUGACACCAGAGAAGGAUUUAAAAGUUGCAGCUGCUUGCCUCACGGCCACGGAUUCUUGAGGAUGCUGCCAGGCCCACUCAAACUGCAGGCAUCAACCCAUCAGAAAACAUUUAUAUAUUAGUAACAAACCAUGAGUCAGAACAGUUAUUGGAAGUAUUACGUUUAAUAAAAUCAAUAAGCUCAGAAAAUUUUAGGCUUUUGAGUUUCUAAAAAAGUUAAAAAAAAUUGUUUUCAUCUGUGUAUAAUCUAGAAAUUUUAUAUAUCAUAUAAAUACAAUAGUUUAAGAUAUUAUUUUACCAAAUAAAACAUUGAAUUAAAAAAUAUAUAAAAUAAUAUAAAAUUAUCUAUGAAAUCAAUUAUAAAAUUAAAUUUAUAUAAAAUUAUAAAACACUUUUAAUAUAUUUUAAUUUAAACAUAUAACGUACAACGGGAUAAGAUAACUAAGGAAACGUUAUUUAAAACUAAGAAUUAAUCUUAAAUUAAAAUGAAGUUAAUUUUUUGUUUUAAAGUGUGAAUGUGAGGAUGAGGAGGGAAGAUGGUGUAGGUGAUAAAUAGUAACAAAAUUCCGAGAUGCAAGGCAUUAAUAGGGUGAAGAUUAGGAGUGUAGAGAGAGGCUAGAGGGGCCGUGCCAUAUGAGGAAAUUUUAAAUUUGGGUUAGUAGUAAAUGUCAUCUCCGUAUUUGGAAAAUCUUUGGAUGAACAACCGCCACUUGUCAAUGUCAAUACUGUUGGUGCUACCAAAAAACGAAUGAAUCCUCAUUAAUUAAUUAACCACCUUAGUUGCAGACCGCAUUCAAGUCUCCAUGUCAAAGUCAAUUUAUAAUUUCUUGAUUUUAGGAUGAAACUUAAUUUGGCCUUUAGUUUACGAUAAAGCUGCUGAAUAUAUGCAUGCAUGUUUGAUUAACUUUUUUAAUUUUUCUUUUCUUAUCUUUUUCUUUUCAUUUGAAUUUAGUUAUUUAUAAAUAAAUCAUCGUAUUAUUCUUUUUUGAAUAAUUAAUAAAUAAUUUUAAAAUUAUAAUAAAAAAUAAUAUUUAUUAAUGGCGGGAGGAGCAAGCCCCGGUGCGAGAGAGCUUGAUCAGACGCCCACCUGGGCUGUGGCUCUUGUUGUGGCUGUCAUCAUUAUGAUUUCAAUAGCUCUGGAAAAGGUUCUUCAUUCAGUUGGGGAGGUAUAUAAUCUCAUUUUUCUCCUUUUUUUUGCUUUUGUUUUAUUCAUACAGUUCUUUUUUUCGUUAAUUAGAAAAAGUUGUAUAUCAUAUGAGAUUUCAUUAUUGCAGCUGUUUGAACAUAAAAAAAAGGAGGCUUUAUAUGAGGCUCUUCAAAAAGUUAAAGGCGGUAAAAUCACCUCUGAUCGAAAUAUUUUUACAACAUUUCUUCUCAAAACUCACAAUUGAUUUCUACAUGGCAGCUUCUGCUACAGCGUUAUUAUUAAUAUUCUCGUCCAUGAUAAAUAUACUAGUUGUUUUAUAAAUUUUUCUUUGGUUGCAGAACUUAUGGUUUUGGGAUUUAUUUCUCUGCUUCUGACAUUCGGGCAGAGCUAUAUCUCCAAAAUCUGUAUUCCAGAGAGGCUUGCGGAUACAAUGUUAUUUUGCCCCAGAAAACAUCACCAUUCCCAUCACGGUCAUCAAGAAAGCGGAGGUGGACAUCAUCGGAGACUGUUUUCAUAUGAUGACGACGAUGACGAUGAUGUGCGUAGAUUUUUAGGAGGUGAUGGUGGCGGUCCAGCGUGCAAGCUCGUAAGUAGUUACAUCUUGAAUGAUAUUUAAUGCUUACUUAUAAGACCUAUGCAUUAUUGUUUGAUGAUCACAAAUUAUAUACAUUUUAUUGGAAUUUCAUUUCUCAACAUCAACUAAAAUACAACAAAAUAACAAAAGGACUUUGUGACUAAAGCAGCUAUAAAUGAUGUUAUUAUUGUAGGGGCACGUGCCACUUAUAUCUGUGCAUGGAUUACAUCAGUUGCAUAUUUUCAUAUUCUUUUUGGCAGUUUUUCAUGUGGCAUAUGGUGCCACGACAAUGAUGCUGGGAAGAUUAAAGGUGGCUAUAUAUCCUUCAGUUUCUUAACCCCAUUCAUUUAUGAUAGAUGGAGUAUACGUGUGUUCAUGAAUCUCGUACCAUAUGCAUUGCAGACACGAGCCUGGAAGGACUGGGAGCGGGAGUGUGUCAAUAGUGUUACUGAACUCAACAGUAUAAUAUCGCUUAAUCAUCAGUUUCUUAAUAAUUAAGGCGCAGUUUUUCUAAAUUAAUAUACAUUCCCACUUAAUUCAUUGAUGCCUCGUCAUGUUUUAAUUUCUUCACAUGUUCACUAAUUUGGCUACUUGCUUGCUAAUUUAGAUCCUUCAAGAUUUAGGCUCACUCAUGAGACAUCAUUUGUAAGAGACCACACCAGAGGAGCUUGGACAAAAACAAAAUUCUCCUUUUAUUUUGUAAGGAUUAAUAUAUGUUUUCAACUCUUCAUUUUUUAUUUUUUUAAAUAAAAUAAACGCUGCUGUCAGUAAAAUUAUUGGAGUGAAAUUUCUCACUAGAAUGAUUCAUGAAUACAAUAAAAUUCUAAAUUAUCUUCAACAUUAUUAUAUAAUUAUUUAUUUGAUAUAUAUAGUAUAAUAUUGAGUGUCAAAGCAGUAGUAAUUGUAUUUUGGUUUUCUAAUAAUCUGGUGCCAAUACCAUUCCUUUAUUACUAUCAAAAUGACUCUUCCCACGGCCAAGGAUGAGAAUUGAGAGGCUACUUAUUAUGUACGAACUUGAGACUAGCUUAAAGCCAAGCUUUCUGGUUGUAACUACACUUAUUCAAAGGAAUGAAUGAACUUUUUCCAGGUAUGCAUGUGGCGACAAUUCUUCAGGUCUGUUCGCAAGGCCGAUUAUUGUACAAUGCGUCACGGAUUCGUCAGUGUGAGUUUCCUCUCUGGAACAUCUUUUGUUAUUUAUUUCCAUUAUCUGCAGUAGCAAUUACAGUAACUCAAUUAUUGCCUUCAGGUUCAUUUAACACCUGGAAGUAAGUUUGACUUUCAAAAAUAUAUCAAAAAAUCAUUAGAGGAUGACUUCAAGGUGGUCGUCGGAAUUACGUGAGUUUUUUUUUUUUUCGGAGGGGCGGUGGAUUUUGGUUCAAUUAGUAAUUCUAGAUCUUCUACUAAUAAUACCCGUGGUGCCUGCAGUCCGGCAUUGUGGGCUUCAGCAGUCGUCUUUCUCCUUAUGGAUGUCCAUGGUUAAUUCCUUUCUAUUACCUUGUCUUUUUCCCCUAGUUAUUUGCGUUAUUCCUCUUAUUCUAAUAUAUAUAUACACAUAUAUUCUUGUUUUAUGCUUUCAGGCUGGCAUGUUAUGACUAUCAUAUCCAUGAUUCCUUUAAUAGUAAGAUAUUGUUCAGGAAAACUCAAUUUCCAUAUGAUUAUCUGAUUUAUGUACUAUGUUAUAUGCAAAUGAUUAACCAUUCAACCUUUUUUAAAAGGUAACUUUAGCAGUUGGAACCAAGCUUCAAGCUAUUAUAGCACGAAUGGCACUUGAAAUAGUAGAAAAACACGCUGUUAUACAAGGGAUGCCUCUCGUGCAAGUCUCUGACCAGCAUUUUUGGUUUGGUUGGCCUCCGUUAGUCCUUCAUCUUAUCCACUUUGUGUUGUUUCAGGUAUUUUACGGCCCUCUUCGUCCAAACAAGAAUAAACCAUAUGAUGGUUUUCUCCACCGUUGAAUAUUAAUUAUCAAUGUUUAUAUUCUGACAUUCUUUACUAUAUGUUUCAUCUCCAGAAUGCAUUCGAGAUCACAUAUUUCUUUUGGAUAUGGGUAAUGUUUUUGUUCUCUUUACCUUCUUCAUAUUUCAAUAAUGCCUAGAAGAAGUGGAAUGUUUCUAGUUAAUGAUUCCUCCUAAUGCAGUACGAGUUCGGCCUAAGGUCAUGCUUUCAUCAGGAUUUUACACUUAUUACUAUAAGAGUUUGUCUUGGGUAAGUCUUGCUUGUCUCUGAAAAUAAACAUUGGGUGGGUUUAUUCAUAGGAUUGGGUUAUGAAAGGGUUUUGGCAGGCACUUUCUCCAUAUCAUAUGUGUAUAUUGUUGCACUUGCACAUUAUGAUCGAUGGUGAAUGUUUGACAGGGUAGUAGUCCAGUUCAUUUGCAGCUACAUCACACUUCCACUCUAUGCGCUUGUUACUCAGGUAAACUCUCCAAUCCCUAGUAAUAGACUGGAGCUCCAAGACAAGUUGUGGAUAUGGACUAAUUAGAGAUCCAUAACAACAACCAACCAGUCCUAACUACUGACUCGCUGCUUGUGCAUGAUUAAUUUUCAGAUGGGAUCAACCAUGAAGAGGUCAAUCUUUGAUGAACAAACUAACAAAGCCCUAAAGCAGUGGCACAAGAAGGCUGCCCAGAAGAAAGCUGAAGCCCCUCCUCGUUCAAAAAUGCCGGGGGGUGAUUCCUCUGACAAUACUAGAAGACAUGAUGGUGAUUCCGAUCAUCGGGAUGUCACCGUUGAAGCGCAGCCUAAUCGGACCCAAAACAACAACAAUAACAAUAACAAAAAUAAUGUUGACCUUCUAACUGGACCAUGAUCAUGAUGUGAAACAACAGGGGACUCAUAUAGGAACUCGAUUUUAAGCAAGGAAUUUUGAUACUCGACAAGCAUUAGGCCACAACAACUACCUCCUAGAUUAGAGAUGGAUGCGAUGCAACUCAAACUGCCUUUUUUUUUUUCUUUAAUUUAAUUAAUUGAUUAAUUUGAUUGUAACUACUGUAACUAGUGGGUGCGUGCAGCUAGCUUGUUCUAAUGUCAUACCCUUCAUCGUUUUUACAUAUAAUAUUGUUAUGCAACUCAAUUAAUUACUUUCUCAAAACAAAACUCAAUUAAUUACUUGUAAUUAUGAAAAUUUAUUAUUAUGUUAAGCGUCAUUUUUCAAUUUUCAUCUCUUUGUAUAUGAUAACUUAUUGAAAAUUUGCGUUUUAUUUUUAAAUGCCUUUGAUAAUAAUUAUUAAAUUUUUAAUUAAUACAUUUUUUCAAUAAGAGGGUUAAAUAUGAUAAUCUUUUUUUUUCAAAAAAUAUUUGAAAUACAUGAGUUUUUUUAUAAAAUAAAAUAAUGUAAUUAUUAUAUUAUUUUUUCCCAAAACUAUUCAAAAUAAUAUAAAAUCUUAUAUUUAUAAAAUUAAAAUUAAAGAUAAAUUUCAAUGUUAUUAAAUAAUAUAAUUUUAUUCAAUAAUCAAUUUAUACUAAUAUACAAAACCAGUUUAUAAUAUAAAUUUCAUAUUUAUAAAUUUUAGUACUAAAAACUCAACAAUUAAUUUUUUUAAUACUUAAUCUUUCUAAUCAUGAAAAAAAAUUAAUUAGGAUAGACCUUCUCUUUAGAGUCCAAAAAAUAUCCAGGUCCCAUUAAUGAAUGUUAGAAUUUAUAAAAUAAAUCUAUAAUAUAACUUAAUAAACC
rnacentral:lncRNA from 1 species